GAUGGUGGCAGAUAUUCUGGCUGCUACGUGGGAACAGUGUGCCGAUCCCUGGGGUUUCUCAAGGCGUGGCACCUCACCUCACCUGCUCCCUCCUGCUGAGCCCCACGCCAAGCUGGAGAGCAGAUGAGAAGCAUGUGUAACCAGGGUGGAGGUCGAGAGUCCUCUUGUGGGGGUCUCCAUGUUCAAGGGAGCUGCCGAGGCUUGAGCAGGAGCCUCCAGCAAGCAUGAACGCUGCUGUCCGGGCUGUGACGCGCAUGGGCAUUUAUGUGGGUGCCAAAGUCUUCCUCAUCCACGAGGGCUAUGAGGGCCUCGUGGAGGGAGGUGAGAACAUCAAGCAGGCCAACUGGCUGAGUGUCUCCAACAUCAUCCAACUGGGCGGCACUGUCAUUGGCAGCGCUCGCUGCAAGGCCUUUACCACCAGGGAGGGGCGCCGGGCAGCGGCCUACAACCUGGUCCAGCACGGCAUCACCAACCUGUGCGUCAUCGGCGGGGAUGGCAGCCUCACGGGUGCCAACAUCUUCCGCAGCGAGUGGGGCAGCCUGCUGGAGGAGCUGGUGGCGGAAGGUAAGAUCUCAGAGACGAUGGCCCGGACCUACUCGCACCUGAACAUCGCGGGCCUAGUGGGCUCCAUCGAUAACGACUUCUGCGGCACCGACAUGACCAUUGGCACGGACUCGGCCCUCCACCGCAUCAUGGAGGUCAUUGAUGCCAUCACCACCACUGCCCAGAGCCACCAGAGGACCUUCGUGCUGGAAGUGAUGGGCCGGCACUGCGGGUACCUGGCGCUGGUAUCUGCACUGGCCUCGGGGGCCGACUG
rnacentral:sRNA from 1 species